GAUCACUUCAAAAUUUAAAUAUGAUGCUAAGUUUGUUGACCCUAUAUCCCUAAGUCCUAACCAUCGACAUACCAAGAACAACCUCGAGUCCUCAAUAAUCCAAGAACAACCAUCGGUGGUUAGGUACAUCAUGGGAGCUUGCAGCAUUUGGAGUGUCGUGGCUGCAAUAAACUAUGGGCUUUUUUCCACGGAACAAUUGGAGCGAUUUCAAAUCUAGAGAAUACAAUAGGUGAGGCCCCGGCUCUCUAUGGAAUUUUACAUAUUCUACCGACUCGAACAAUGACGUUCCCUCCAUGAGGAGGUUCUACCUUAGCAUUGGGUUUUUGGAACAAGUGAAAAUGAUGGGGUGCAAGUUACCAAUACGUUUAACAAUUUUGGUGUAAAGUUUAAACAUUAUUCUAUUGGGUUAAUUGGUGUAUGGCGAUCAAUACACUUGUUCUGUCUCUGAUGCCAUGGUUUCUUACUUUGUAACUUGUGUACGAUGAGAUCCACAUGAAUAUGGAGUCCAUAUCAUGAGAGCAUAUAUGAUGAAACUUUGCA